AAAAUAAACAAACAGAAAUGCCCUGGCAGACCCAUUGUUUCUGCUUGUUCAUGCCCCACUGAAUUAAUUUCCACAUAGCUCGACUCCAUUCUAUCCCCCCGGUCCAAUCCCUCCCGACCUAUGUCCAAGGCACCUCACACGGCCCUCGUCUAUUCAGCGACUUCUGUUUUCCAGGCCCCCACUCCUUCAUCUUUACUGUG